AUUGAACGCUGGCGGAAUGCUUUACACAUGCAAGUCGAACGGCAGCACGGACUUCGGUCUGGUGGCGAGUGGCGAACGGGUGAGUAACACAUCGGAACGUAUCCAAUAAUGGGGGAUAACUAAUCGAAAGGUUGGCUAAUACCGCAUACGCCCUACGGGGGAAGGCUAGGGACCUUCGGGCCUGGCGUUAAUGGAGCGGCCGAUAUCUGAUUAGCUAGUUGGUGGGGUAAAGGCCCACCAAGGCGACGAUCAGUAGCUGGUCUGAGAGGACGACCAGCCAAACUGGAACUGAGACACGGUCCAGACUCCUACGGGAGGCAGCAGUGGGGAAUUUUGGACAAUGGGCGCAAGCCUGAUCCAGCCAUUCCGCGUGAGUGAAGAAGGCCUUCGGGUUGUAAACUGCUUUUGUCAGGGAAGAAAUCCUCUAGGCUAAUACCUUGGGGGGAUGACGGUACCUGAAGAAUAAGCACCGGCUAACUACGUGCCAGCAGCCGCCGUAAAAC
rnacentral:rRNA from 1 species